AUCGCUUUUUGGCCUUUUGGCUAAGAUCAAGUGUAGCAAAAGAUAGUUGACAUACAAUAUUAUAUUAGUUACAGGUAUACAACAUAAUGAUUCUACAUUUAUAUACCUUAUGAUGUGACCACCAGUAUAUGUCUAGUAACCAUCUGUCACCAUAUAAAGCAGUGGUUCUCAA
rfam:Myotis brandtii contig185440, whole genome shotgun sequence.